GGUGAAGCUUGGUAGUGAGUAGAGCAAUGAAUAAUAGAAUGAUUAUAGUAAUAGAAUGAUGAAAUACAACCUAAUUCUGGUGGAUGUACAGUGCACACCACUUCUUUACGUGAUACUCCUAUUAUACGCCGUCGCACUGGUGUUUUACAGCUUGACCUUUUCCCCCGUCUUUCAGCGAAUCAGAUUCCACUAUUUCCAUUCUUCUCCACUCUCUCUCGUUUUCACCCAAAUCUCUGUCUUCUGAUUUAUGCAUACGAUUUAAUCGUGCCGAUCAAUGCCAUCUCUCUCAAAAUAGAUUAUUGUUGGCGUUUUAUAGCGGCGGAUUUUUCAGUUGUUUUAUUUGGACAAACUUUGUGAAGUUGAUGAAAGUUUUUGCCUCUCUACACAUACACAUCUGAUGGUGUUGGUUGUUCGGUUGGGAUAGGGAAAAACUGAAUUAUGCUUGACUGACGGAUUCUAGGUUUGUUCUUUGGGAUUUUUUGAGUGCUUAUAGAUUGGCGGAAUUGAUAUAGCACUAUCACAUUACUAUUCAGGGCGUUUAGGUUUGGCAUCUUCUUUCUGGAUUUGAUCAGCUCUGAGGAUUAGGAUUUGUGGCUGUGAACCCGGAUACUGUGUUUGGAGUAUCUGAACAACUAUUUUCUGGAAUUGGAUUAUUUACAUUGGUGAUUUGAUUGAAUUUGGUGAACUGUAGCAUUUUUCGGGCCCUCUGUUUUGCAGUUAUUUUAUUGGUUGGAUAUGGAGUCUCUUCCAGUUGAGGUUGUUGGGAACAUUCUAUCGCGUCUUGGAGCUGCUCGUGAUGUUGUGAUUGCAUCAGCAACUUGCCGGAAAUGGCAUGAGGCUUGGAGGAAUCAUCUCCACACUCUUACAUUUAAUUCCAACGACUGGCCUUUGUAUCAUGAUUUUUCCACUUCUAGACUCGAAAUCAUUAUUACUCAGACUAUAUUCCAGACCAAAGGACUGCAGUGCCUUUCAAUAAUUAUGGAUGAUGUAGACGAAUUCUCUGCUGCCCCAGUUAUCGCUUGGCUCAUGUACACUCGAGAAACCUUGCGUCAACUACAUUAUAAUGUGAGAACACAACCUAACAUCAACAUGCUUGAAAAGUGUGGUCGACAGAAGCUUGAAGUAUUGGCUUUGGCUCACAAUACAAUUACUGGAGUCGAACCUAGUUAUCAGAAAUUCCCCUGCUUGAAAUCUCUUUCCUUGAGUUAUGUCAGCAUAUCAGCCUUGGAUCUGAGUCUUCUGCUUAAUGCCUGUCCAAAAAUUGAAUACUUGAUCUUAAUCAGUCUAGAUAUUGUCAUGUCGGAUCCCCAGGCAACGAUGGAUUUGAGUAGCCACUCAUUAAAGGAUGUUUAUGUUGAGGCAAUCAGUUUGGAUAAGUUUAUACUGGAGGCUGAUAGCUUAGAAAAGUUGCACUUGAAAGAUUGUACACUUGAAGUUUUUGAGCUUGUUGGUAAAGGGAUGUUGAGAUUCCUGAAGAUUGAUGAUGUUAGUGUCAUCCAUCUUGAUAUUGGUGAGAGUGCCGAAAAUCUGGAGAUUGUCGAUGUGAGCAAUUUCACGAUCAUGUGGGCGAAGUUCCUCCAUAUGAUCUCAAGAUCAUCCAAGUUGAGAAAGCUUCGGUUAUGGGGUGUUGUAUUUGAUGACGAGGAAGAGUUUGUGGAUGUAGAAACCAUCUCCUCAUGCUUUCCUUUGUUGAGUCAUCUGUCCCUGAAUUAUGAUCUAAGAGAGGCAGCUCUUCAGUAUGGCUUACAAGGUUCUUUUGUUUUGGACAAUGUGAUUGUCUUGGAACUUGGGUGGACAGUAAUUAGUGACCUGUUCUCGAUGUGGGUUUCAGGACUUCUGGAAAGAUGCCCUCAUCUUAAGAAAUUAGUUAUUCACGGCGUUGUGUCUGAGACCAAAACUCAUGAAGAAUGCCACACAUUGGCCAACUUUACUUCAGCUAUUGUGAGACUCAUGAGGAAGUACCUGCACGUGGAGGUUCAAUUUGAAUUUGAAUAGAGAUAUUUUACUGUAUCCGAGCUUCUCUGUUAUGGGCUACAGAAGCAGGCAGAGAAUCAGAGAUCCUCAUUACGGAUUCUUCAUUUAUUCCGAUCUGGUCUUCCCCAGAUAAUUUUUUGACUGACAACAGUUGUAUUUUAUUGAUAUUUUUCUGGAAAAGUUCAGUCGACUAAUUAUUUAUAGAUCAUACUGGCAAAACAUCUUUUCAAGAAACCCAAGAAAGUCGAGACACAGAGAAGCAAGUGAUUGCCUAAUUCGGUAAUGCGUAUGUGUGCGUAGCAGUGUCUUCUGAGAUAUUUCACAAAGCUUCAAUGGGUGGAAAGCAGGGAAAAUCUCUUUCGAUCUGGGAGAAAAGGAAUUUAAGACACAUCAGCAGUCUAGAUAUAUGCGUGAUGAAGGAGAACGGGCAUCUUUUGGAUGUUCUCUGAUCUCCAAAAUGGGGUAAAAAGUUUUCAACUUGUGUAUUAUGUAUUCUUUUCAAUGCUGCUUCUAGAAAGUUGUGAUUUAUCCAUGUUCCAAUGACUGAUGCAAGCAUAUGAAUAUUGAUGGUAUUAUUGCCAGUUUACUCGUGAUGUAUGAAAAAUCAGUGGAAUAUGAGAUAUAUCAUUAUUUUUCGUGAACUAUCUAGUUUGGAUUAGAAAUGCUGAAAACGAAUCAAAGAGUGUUGAUUUUGAUUGUUCGCUGGAAGAAAAAUGACGGCAAAUAGAGAAUCAGUGGGAUGAGAAAGGACCACCAAGUCAGAGAUCCUCCUUGAAAUAUCUAACAAUAAAAACGUGGCUGGAAAUGUUCAACCAAAAAUAGGGUAAAAAAAAAACCCGGCCAAAAUAGUGCACCAACCUCUAUAAAUACUCAUCCUGCAACUUGUUCCUGAACAUCAUAUAUCAAAACCAACAACACAUCUCCAAUGAAUCAGUUGUGUGUUGACGGAAAUGAUGAGAAAGCAGGAGGAGCUAGGCAUUGUUUUCAGUUGAAGGAGUCGGUCAUCGAGAUUCUAGCCAAGGAUCUCUGCAAGUUAAGGUGCUUUUCUAAAUCAUGGAAUGUCUUGCUAUCUCAUGAUGUUGAGUCGUGGAAGCAAAAGCCUCUGUUGUUGGUUAGGAGGAACAAACUUAACAAGACCAAAAUAACCUCCAUAGACAUGCUGGGAGAAGUUGAGAAACAGAUUGAUGUAUGUGUGCAAUCCCAGCAUUCACCAAGUUGUUUGUACAACGCAGGCUUUGCCUACCAUCCAUUCCUGCAUCUCACGACUACAACAUAGUCCACAUCUUCGGGAACCAUUCUGUAGUCGGAAACAAGAAAAUGGGAUCGAGUUUAUUAUUAUUAUUAUCU